UGAACUGCGAUGAAGAGAAGAGUACAUUCGGAGGAAGCAUACAGAGAACCGGGAAAGGUGAAAGCCGGCUGUGGACAAGGAAUGGAAGAUGGCCUCGGAGCAUGCUUUGGUGAGGGCUGCCGCCUAAGCCAGGGCCGCGGAAAGCGUUAAAAACAAAUAAUAAACCCUGCCGGUUUAUUAGCUGAGCCGUCUGCCGUGAGACAGGCGGAAAGUAAGGUGGUAACACGAGAGCUUCGUCCUUAUA
rnacentral:ncRNA from 1 species